GACGAACGCUGGCGGCGUGCUUAACACAUGCAAGUCGAACGGUGAAGCGCCUUCCUUUUUGGUGGGUUUGGAUGCGUGGCGAACGUGUGAGUAACCCGUGAGUAACCUGCCCCAUUCUUCUGGAUAACCUCAUGUAAUUGUGGCUAAUACGUGAUAUUCUGGGUCUGUCGCAUGAUGGGUCUGUGUAAGCUCUUGUUUCUGUGGGGGCUGGGCUCGCGUCCUAUCAGGUUGUUGGUGGGGUGAUUGCCUACCAAGGCGGUGACGGGUAGCCGGGCUGAGAGGGUGGACGGUCAAAGUGGGACUGAGACACGGCACAGACUCCGACGGGAGGCAGAAGUGGGGAAUAUUGCACAAUGGGCGCAAGCCUGAUGCAGCGACGCCGCGGGAGGGAGGGAGGCCGGCGGGUUGUGAACCUCUGUCGACAGUGAAGCAGGCCUGCCUCGUUUGUGGGUGGGUUGACGGUAGCUGGAUAAGAAGCGCCGGCUAACUACGUG
rnacentral:rRNA from 1 species